UACGGUAGGGUCCGAGCGUUGUCCGGAAUUAUUGGGCGUAAAGGGCUCGUAGGCGGUUCGUCACGUCGGGAGUGAAAACUCGGGGCUUAACCCCGAGCCUGCUUCCGAUACGGGCAGACUAGAGGUAGGCAGGGGAGAGCGGAACUCCUGGUGUAGCGGUGGAAUGCGCAGAUAUCAGGAAGAACACCGGUGGCGAAGGCGGCUCUCUGGGCCUUACCUGACGCUGAGGAGCGAAAGCGUGGGUAGCGAACAGG
rnacentral:rRNA from 1 species